GACGAACCGUGCGAACGUUAUUCGGAAUCACUGGGCUUAAAGCGCGUGUAGGCGGGGGUGGCACGUCCGGCGCUGAAAUCCCCCGGCUCAACCGGGGAACGGGCGCGGAUACGACCGCCCUCGAGGGACGUAGGGGGGACCUGGAACUUCCGGUGGAGCGGUGAAAUGCGUUGAGAUCGGAAGGAACGCCCGUGGCGAAAGCGAGGUCCUGGACGUCCGCUGACGCUGAGACGCGAAAAGCCAGGGGAGCGAACGGG
rnacentral:rRNA from 1 species